rnacentral:rRNA from 1 species
AACGAACGCUGGCGGCAGGCUUAACACAUGCAAGUCGAACGGGCGUAGCAAUGCGUCAGUGGCGGACGGGUGAGUAACACGUGGGAAUAUGCCUUUCGGUUCGGAACAACUCGGGGAAACCCGUGCUAAUUCCGGAUACGCCCUUACGGGGAAAGAUUUAUCGCCGAAAGAUUAGCCCGCGUUGGAUUAGCUAGUUGGUGAGGUAAGGGCUCACCAAGGCGACGAUCCAUAGCUGGUUUGAGAGAACGACCAGCCACACUGGGACUGAGACACGGCCCACGACUCCUACGGGAGGCAGCAGUGGGGAAUCUUGGACAAUGGGCGCAAGCCUGAUCCAGCCAUGCCGCGUGAGUGAUGAAGGCCUU